rnacentral:misc_RNA from 1 species
CUCCCCAGCCCCAGCCCCCGGGGAGGAACCGGGUCCUGGUGAGAGUCCAGUCCAGUUCGGAGGAGUCGGGAGGCAGAGAGUCGCUGCUGCUGUUUGUACUAGGGUAAGAGUGGGGAUAGGGUUGGGUGAAAAUGGUACGCUCACCAACCCGCCGAUCUCCACGGCCGAGGUCUCCAAGGCCUAGGUCACCCAGGCCACGAUCCCCUAGGCCUAGGUCUCCGAGGCCUAAAUCUCCUCGAAGGAGAUCUCCUGUGCGCCGCCCAGCCUCACCACGGAGACGAAGUGGAGAUCGCGGAGGGUCCAAGCGCGGGCCUCGCAGCCCACCCCCCAGGCCAGGCGGAAGUGGAAAUGGCGUUGCUGGCGGAGGUGGGGGAGGUGGAGGGGGCAGCGGGAGGAGGAGGAAGGGCCGUAGGCGCCGCAGGGCAAGGGGAGGAGGUGGAGGAGGUGGGGGGGGAGGUGGUGGUGGUGGUGGAGGAGGAGGAGGAGGUGGUGGAGGAGGCAGUGGUGGGGGUCCUCCCAUGUCAGGAGGUAAUAAGCAGCCUAUCGCAUCCAUGCGGAUGAGAAUGGAUGACUACAGGCCACCACGUGCAGAGAGACUCCUCAGAGACCCAAAAGAAGAUUGUGGGGUUGGUGGUGGUGGGAUAGAUCGAGGUCCCAUUGAACAAGUCGUUGUGCGUGCGCGUCGCGAGGCUUCCACCCGCACCAAGGACACUUUCUGGACCAAGAAAUUGCUUGAUGCAGAAGCUUCACAACCAAACAGAUGGGCACACACCGGCUUCAAGGAGCUCUACCGCGAUGAGUUGGGCUACAGUGAUGUAGGGGAAGCAAGUGGGGAUGAGAAGGGCAGGGAGAGCCGGGCUUCUUCUCGUCCCCGUGACCCUAGGGAUCCUAGGGACCCCAGGGAUCCAGCUGCCAUUCCUCCACGGAAGAUUGGUGGCUCUCCAUCCCGGCCCAGGUCUCCACGUGACCCCAGGCGAAGAACAAGAAGUCGUUCCCCGCACUCCAUCAGACACUCGCCAAGACGCUCACCAAUCAGGCCCGCCCAGAGAUCCCCGCGCCACUCGCCCCGACGCUCUCCCAGACGCUCUCCGAAGCCGCUGUCGAGGGUCAAGAGGCGUCCGGGAUCUCACUCUCCCGCAAGACCCCGCGUCCACAAGCGUUCGUACUCGAGCAGUUACUCCAGAUCGUCUUCGAGUAGCAGCGGUUCGUCCUAUUCGAGGAGCUACUCGUCCUAUUCUCGAUCGUCGUCGGGCUCAUCGUCAUCCUCUUUCUCCAGUUCUUCUUCGAGCACUUCGGGGUCGAGACGCAGGCACUCGUACUCGCCGCCGCCCAGGAGACCGCGGUCGUACUCGGGGUCGCCACACCGAGGGCGGAUACCCAGGAGGCAGCCGCCGCCAGCCUCGCCUCCCUCGCAGGUUCGGAUCAAGCAGGUGUCGCACCAGGAAACGACCAAGAAGCUCGUAACGAAGACAGUCAGCAAUGUGGUGAUGACCAAAACCAGAACCGUGCCCAAGGUCGCGAAGCUGAAAACGAAAGUCAAACCAAAGGACAUAGAAGGGGCAGUAAGGCGGAAGCCCAGGCUGCCGGCCCCGCCAGCCGCCGCCACCUAUUACAACGAUGAUAGUGUGGUGGUGGUCAAAGAGCCAGGGGAUUAUCGCAGCGGUCCUGGCACGCCUCCCAGGGGCACCACGGAGGGACGGCACCUGCUGGAUCCUCACCACUACAAGGUGGUUCCCCCCGACCACCCCGACUACCACCAGCCGCCGCCGCCUCCGAGAGAAUCGCCGAAGUCUGAAGGCGAAGACACAGAUUCAGAUUCUUCGUCAGACGACGACGACGGGCCGCGACGCAUGACCUUGUCUGAGAGGUUUGGGAAGCUGGCUCAACUUAGUUCACAGAGGCAGGAAUACGAAGGUGUCAGAAUGAAAAUCGUACGUGAAGGCGGCCAGGACAAGAAAGUGUAUCUCGAAGGAGGCAGAUUGCACUCGAGGUCGCCCUCUCCAGGCAGCCGAGGCCGGGCCACCCACCCUGCACACGAGCGGUGGCUUCAGGAACAUCAAGCGGAAUACAGAGAAUACCAGGAGCGCUAUGGCGAGAUCCGGCAGUGGGACCCGCACCGCGACCUGCCUCGAGAGUUGCCGCAGAACUGGGACGACGUCCACGUCAGAUACCGCUACUACAAGGAAUCCGGCUACUUCGGCGACAGGUCGAUUACGCUCGAUGACUACUUGAAGUGGGAGCAGUGGUGGUACCAUUAUCGCGACUGGCUGGAGAAGUACGGCGGGACACAGGAGUCCGAGGAGAGGGACUGGCAGUACAGGGCGUCGAGUUACGAGUAUGAGGUUCGAGGGGGAACUUCGUCAAGUCAGGGGGGCAGGUGGCCGCGUCGGGAACCGUCAAGAGAAGCCGAUGACAGGAAAAGGAGAAGAUACUAAACGGUUUCUUAGGUUCUGAAAAUUGCCUGUUCCACUAUGGGUAUUCUAUGCUCUGUAAUUUUACUGCCAUGCGGUCACUUGAAAUACCCUUCUUGGGCAGUUAUAAAUAGGUGAUGUUAGCUUUGCACCCAAACAAAUAAUGUGGAAAACAAAUGAUACGUCUUUCCACCGUGAUAACAAGUAUAACAAGUGAUUUAAAUGAUUGCUGCCAUUGAAGCAACAACAGGUUUUUAAACGAGGCAGACUUUCAUGCAGCUCUUGGAUCUCGGGACCACAUCAUCAAUGUGUGCAUGAAGCGAUGGCGUAGAAAGACAGCUUAGCUUUCGUCGUAAUUGGAAGCUGUUGCUCGGUAUGAACGGCCACCGAUUUUAUCUUCAACACUUCGGAAAUAAAGAAUUUGCUUUUAGCUACUGCCCUGCAUAGCUUUGUAAUAUAUACUGUAGAAUAUUUUAGAAAACAAGCUUUAUUGUCAAGAUCACCGUUGUUUGAUCUUAGGAAUGACAUUGUCUUUUUACAACCGAAGGAUAUUAAAGUGCAAACUUUUCUAUGUAUUACCCGUCCCAUUAAUAAUAUAUAGGCGAAAGAAACAAAUUUUACAGUUAACUUUUGCAUCCAACAGUAUAAAGCUUAGAUCAGGAUAUUGCAGCACUUCAGUUCCAAAUUUUGCUUUUUGUUAAUAUAAUGUAUUUUAUAAUUAUAUGUAUACAGAUUUGUGCUCUUCAAGUACCGGAAAACUAUUGAAGAUUAGCACACACCAUUUUACAUAGAAUGCUUGACUCUUCUUGAAAUAUUCAGAACCGUUCGAAACUGGAAGACAAAAGACAAAUCAGGGGAAAGCCUUUUAUUUUGAAAUGUUUUGUUGCUUUUUUUUUUCAAUGUAUCUUUUUUAUAUUAAACUAGCUUCUGAGAAAUCUCUUUGACCAAUUGGAAUAUCAAUUAGGGAUUUAUGUAGAAGUAAUGAGAACAGGAAAAAAUGGGGGAAAUGAUUCUGAGAAGCCGUGAUAUUAUUGAUUGCUAAUGCAUAUUUUGACUUUAUUUAAGAACUGUUUCUAAACUGUCAUAUUCAAGUUUGUUACAAUGAAAUUGCCUUAACCACUUAUUGAACAAUGACAGGAGACGUUACGUAUUACAUUAAAAAAAAAAAAAAAGUGAUAUCUGUGUGUUUGCAACAGUAUGGAUGUGCGCUUCUCAGUGAAACUAUUUAUAACUCACAAUACCUGUUCCAUAACUCACAAAUCCUUCAAUAUACAGGCAGGGAAAAGGCGUCUUCCACAAACACUAGCAGUGUACGUAUACAUUGAAGGAUGAAAAUGAGCAAUGCGUAAUGAUACAGUUUCAUAUUAAACUUCUUGUUUUUUUUUGCAAUAUGUAUUUAUUUAUGUAUGAUAGGAACGAGUAAUGCUUUCGAAGCAUUGCGUUUUAGAGAUGAAAUAAAUGUCGUGAUAUUUAUUGUACUUGCUGUAUGACCUGUACGAUAUAAAAAUUUUCUUCUCCAUAUA